AAUCUUACGUGCUUUCCUUUAGUCAAGACACUGUCUACUAAAAAUGCUUAACUUACUCUCAGUAGAUGUAUUAUCAUUUUAAUUAAUUGUACUUCUUCAGGAGUGCGAUGGAGCCACACAUGGGCAUCUAAUACCAGAGACAAUUCAGGAGCUCAUGAUAAUCUAAGGCUAAUGCUACCUUGAAUGCUUGCAUGGUUGAAGUUACACUGCAAAUGAUCAGUUCAAAUCUAAGAUCAUUUAAACACCAUCAUUUCAUUGUGAAAUGGGAAUGGAACUCCUCCAAAUGAAUAAGGAGCCUAGCAGCAAACAUGCCAAUGUGGUGCACUUGUGUGAGCCUGAGCAAGAAAGCUGGUUGUUGAACCAAAAAUCAGGCCAGUCUACUUAUUAGGAUUAAAGAUAUGUUUAAGGAUGAAAGUGGUUAUUGAAGGAGGGAAUUCUUGGCUAUUACAAAUGAUGUGGAGAUUUUCUUGGCCUUUGGAAAGUGCAUUCUUGCUUCGAAGCCGAGCUCUAUUUUGAAUGAGUUAAGCUUGAAUUUUGUAGAAUAAAGAACCAAGCUAUAAACCGUGCAUGCAGCUUAAGGGAGGGGUAAGGAGGAGAUGAACAUGAGAGACCCCUGAACUAGUGUGGAUCUACAUGACAGUCCAUACAUGUGAAUGUGCUGCAUCACUCUUCCAUCAAGCUUUCCUCUCCUCCCACUCAUAACAAUAAAGGCAACAUGAACAAUGUGAAAGCUUCUGUUUGCUCCCAUAAUUCCUUUUCCAUUCUCAACUAAUGAUAAACAAAAACUAUGCCAUGAUGUUGGUGAGCUAUAUCACGCAUCCAUCUCUCACUUCUCAUAUUAAAGGAACGGACUAAAGGAGGGAAGCGAUGACUGAUGAUAGCAAGCAUCCCCACGAUGGAGAAUGACCAUAGAAAGAUCUUUCCACAUUGAGGAAAGAUCUCUCGAUUUGCAUUAGGAAGUGGACACUUAGAAUGCCUAAGAUGAGAAGCAACAAUAGCCGGUGAAUGCCAACACUCAAAGAAUCGAAGCAUCUAUGAACAAGCCUAUUGGAUAUCCUUGGCGACCAUCUAUCUUAUGGACAUGUCUUUGUGGAGCUGUCUCACCUAUGUCCUUUGGGAAGUUGAGUACAUAGUCUAUGAUCUGUAAAUACUUUCGGAGAGCUAACGUAUCUAUAUCAAGUUGAAAGACAAACCAAUGCUACAAACCUUACCACAUAAGUGGCAAUAAAUGCGAGUGGCAAGCUGCUGCUAGUUCACAAGAUUCUUCUGUCGGUUAUAAAUGGAGGGUUAGAGAGCACUGAUUGUUUUUCAGGCACCUGACUUGUCAAUGACAUUGAAUUUGUAAUCUUUCUUUUCCAUGGAGUUGAUGUUUACGAAUGUUAAAUUAAGCCAAAUGCAAAUGUAGACCAUGUGUAAUUUGUACAUGGAUCAGAUGAUGUUUAUCUUUCCAUAAACUUCUUUUUUUUUCUUCCAAAUCUAUAAAUAUGGACAUACCAAUUUGACUAGGACGAAAGUAAUAGUUAAAUUUGUGAAUGCGGCGCCAUGGGAACUUGUACAAACAGCAUAGCUGAACUAUGGCACAAUAAUAACUUGGAUUAAGUAGCUGAGAUAUGGCUCUGCAAGAUGGUAUGCUGAUGGCGGUUAAGAUAGGCUUGGUGGGUAAUGUCUUAGUUUUAUUCAAGCUUUAAGGUAAGUGUGGGUAUGGGAUG